rnacentral:lncRNA from 1 species
CUCCGCUCCGCCGGCCGAGGGAGCAGCGCCGUGCCCCGGCUGCGGCAGCGGGAAGGGCCCGGGGAAGCCAGUCCCCAGGGAGACGGGAACGCGACAAGGCUCUAAUUCCAGGGCACUGCUGCAUGCAGUUGAAUCAAUGGUGGUCACAGCAGAUUCCUGACACCAUGGGAAGGGAUUCUGCUCUUCUUCUUCUUCUUCUGCUUGGUCGUCACACAGACCUCCAAACUGAGCUGAACUUCUGGAAAUCAAGAAAAGACAACAGUUUAUUUAAAAAUAAACAAGGCAGCAUUGAUGAUUGGACUAAAACCCAGUGGAGAGAGAUUAAUGUGGAACAGAUGGAUGUGAAGCUCAGAAGGUUUGCCAAGGCAGGUUCCACAGCCAUCUAUUUCUGCAAUUUAUCUGUCUCAGUGCCACCCCUUCCUCACUCUUCCCACCCACUUGGAUGUUUCGGUGGGUUUAUUACUCAUGUCCAAACUGAAUGUUCUGGAA